UAUGAGUCAACAUUUCUUCAAUCUUUAGCUUCCAGCCUUUUUACCUUUACCCAAAUUCUCUUCUGCUUCUUUUCUCCAAUGGCGUCCUCUAAUCCUAAUCUCUCAAUUCCUUCAAUGGAUUUCCUCUGAAACUUCCCAACCACCUUCUUUCCUCCAACGACACACAGUUUAGGCCAUGGCAUUGCCAUUGCAUUUGGCGUUCUGGAUCGCCGAUAUGGUUUGGGGUGCCUUUAGCGGCUGUAUUUCUUCUUGUUUGGCCUUUGCCGACGAAGUCGCCAGCUCCAUCAGAACUGGCGAUAUUGGCGCUUUUCACAUUGGCUGACCGGGUUUUCUUCGAUUUUCAUCAAUUCUUAACUCUCUGAGAUGGUGGCUUGGCUUGGGGGCUUAGAUAACUUGAGGUUGAAGACUUGCCUGUAACUAUGAAGACUAUUCACCUUAAUCUAGCUAGUGAAUGGAUGUCAAGCGCCCCUACUAACGAAAUUAGAUUGUGAGGCUGUCGCAAUGUGACCAACAAUUUAAAGUUGUUGAUGUGUGAGAGAAACUUUGAAAGUACUUUGAAUUCAAGGUAAUAUAGAUUGAAGACUUGUUCAAUUGUAUGAUGAGACACUCAGUAUCUUUUAGUGAACAACUUUUUUCUAAUAGACUAGAUAUGGAGCAACGAUAGAGCUAAUGAGCUAUAACUUCCCUGCCUUGCAAGUUUAUAUUUGUAUACUUGCUUAAGAUAGUAGAGAUUUAUGAAUUCUUUUGUCUGAUAGUAUGUGGGGUGGGUGAAUCGAACAUUGGAUUUUGUGAUUGAUGGCAUAACUUUGUAAACACGAUGUAAGUUAAACAAUGCUCAUUAUUUGUGAUAAUGAAAUUUUACUUUUUACUUGA